CGGUUGAAGCCUUGGGUGCACAUCACUGCCGGAGCCUGCCAAGGCCCCCGCUCGGACACAGCCAGACAAUACCGCUCAUCUUCUAGAGCGUGGAGGCACACAGACACAAAUCACUGAGAACAUCCUUGUUCCCCAAGGCAGAGAGCUCCCUGACGUUAUUUUGAAUAA